AAUGGGUAUAGCUCAUUUUUCAUAAGGAAGCAUAAUAUGCAGAGUAUCGCAGCAAAAGGCGAACCGAUUAUAUGUAUGAAGACACAUAACCGUGAGUAUAUUACUUGAUUCGAAAGGAAACGAAGUAUUUUUAAUCAUCAAGACUCUAUCAAUCAUAACGGCAAUAUUAAAUAUGAUCACAUCGAUUGAAACGGUUCCCCACCAGCACCAGACCAAUCUCGCUCCCCG
rnacentral:lncRNA from 1 species